AUUGAACGCUGGCGGCAUGCUUUACACAUGCAAGUCGAACGGUAACAGGCCUUCGGGCGCUGACGAGUGGCGAACGGUUGAGUAAUGCAUCGGAACGUGCCCAGUCGUGGGGGAUAACGCAGCGAAAGCUGUGCUAAUACCGCAUACGAUCUGCGGAUGAAAGCGGGGGACCUUCGGGCCUCGCGCGAUUGGAGCGGCCGCUGUCAGAUUAGGUAGUUGGUGGGGUAAAGGCUCACCAAGCCAACGAUCUGUGGCUGGUCUGAGAGGACGACCAGCCACCCUGGGACUGAGACACGGCCCAGACUCCUCCGGGAGGCAGCAGUGGGGAAUUUUGGACAAUGGGCGCAAGCCUGAGCCAGCAAUGCCGCGUGCAGGAAGAAGGCCUUCGGGUUGUAAACUGCUUUUGUACGGAACGAAAAGGUUUGGCCUAAUACGCUGAACUCAUGACGGUACCGUAAGAAUAAGCACCGGCUAACUAGGUGCCAGCCGCCGCAGUAAAAC
rnacentral:rRNA from 1 species